rnacentral:rRNA from 1 species
UACGAAGGGGGCUAGCGUUGCUCGGAAUUACUGGGCGUAAAGGGCUCGUAGGCGGCCAACUAAGUCGGAUGUGAAAUCCCCAGGCUCAACCUCGGAACUGCGUCUGAAACUACUCGACUAGAGUACUGGAGAGGGUAACGGAAUUCACGGUGUAGCAGUGAAAUGCGUAGAUAUCGUGAGGAACACCAGAGGCGAAGGCGGUUACCUGGACAGUUACUGACGCUCAGGCACGAAAGCAUGGGGAGCAAAAGGG